UACGGAGGAUCCAAGCGUUAUCCGGAUUUAUUGGGUUUAAAGGGUGCGUAGGCGGGCUGUCAAGUCAGCGGUGAAAGUUCAUGGCUCAACCAUGGAAUUGCCGUUGAAACUGUCAGCCUUGAGUGUAGAUGAGGUGGGCGGAAUUCGUGGUGUAGCGGUGAAAUGCUUAGAUAUCACGAAGAACUCCGAUUGCGUAGGCAGCUCACUAGGCUACAACUGACGCUGAGGCACGAAGGUGCGGGGAUCAAACAGG
rnacentral:rRNA from 1 species